rnacentral:rRNA from 1 species
GUCUACAGCCACACCACCCUGAGCACACCCAAUCUCUUCUGAUCUCAGAAGCUAAGCAGGGUCAGGCCUGGUUAGUACUUGGAUGGGAAAAAAUCUUUGCCCAUUUUGUUAUCAUAGAGU